CCUACGGGAGGCAGCAGUGAGGAAUAUUGCACAAUGGGGGAAACCCUGAUCCAGCAACGCAGCGUGAAGGAAGACGGUUUUCGGAUUUUUAACUUCUUUUCUUAGUGAAGUAUAAUGACGGUCGCUAAGGAUCAAGCCACUGCUCACUACGUGCGAGCAGCCGCGGUCCUACGUAGGUGGCACGCGUUUUCCGGGAUUACUGGGGUUAAAGGGAGCGCAGGCGGGAAGCCAAGUCAGCUGUGAAAACUACGGGCUUAACUUGUAGACUGCAGUUGAAACUGGUUGUCUUGAGUGAAGUUGUGGUUGGCGGAAGUCCGAGUGUAGCGGUGAAAUGCGUAGAUAUU
rnacentral:rRNA from 1 species